rnacentral:tRNA from 1 species
AGAAGGUUAGUCUAAUUAAAGACAUUUGAUUUCGGCUCAAAAAAUCCUGGUAUAAAUUCCAGACCUUCUU